GUUGUCAUGGCCGAGUGGUUAAAGGCGAUGGACUCCAAAUCUAUUGAGUUCUCCCUGCGCAGGUUCCAAAUCCUGCCUGACAACG